CCUGGGAGGAGAYCAGCGUGACCAGGGCAGUGGGCAAGGAGAGUGGGAAUAGGUGAGGUCCAGAAGGUUCCAGAUCAGACCCUGAGGAGCCCUGCCUGCCAUGAGCAGGGAUGGAGGCAGGUCCAACUUAAAAUUGGUUUGAGGSUUAUUCUCUGGCCUUGUAAUAUGCAAGUACUUGUCAUCAGUUGGAACUGACACUUCCACCCAUGUUUAGCUCCAUGUGGCCAACUGAGGCUGGGUCAUCUUUCCUGUGUGCCCCAAACUGCUGCAAGCCUGAAGCCAGUUGUUCCUUCACCACCAGACCUUGGUCUCAGCUUUGGCCAGGAGGCUCUGAAGAUGAAGGGGCUCCCUCAGGGCAGGGAUGAAGUUAUGAGACCUACCACAGGCUUGAGGUGAGAAUUCAGCAAGACAGUACAGGUGGAGCCCUUGAAAGAGACACACGGAUCAUGGUUAGUGCUCCAGAAACAUCAGCGCCUACUGCUUCUAUGAUUUUUCUACUCAGGAAGAACUUCCUGUGUUUCAGGCACUGGCUUUACUUCCUGUAUCAUUUGGUGCAGGCCUGCCAGCUGGUUGCUCACCACCUUUCUGAUCCUGGCAGCCCCUUCAGACUGUUGGCAACAGCGUCGUAKAUGACACAUCAUUUUUUUCUAGCUCCUACAGUUCUGACACAGAGAAAUGGAAUACCUCAGAGUUUCUGAAAGCCUCUGGCUGGGCCUCCACGUGCUGUAGAUCAAGAGCCUUUCCACAGAUGCUCUGAACCCAAGAGGMGGAAUUCUGGACAUAUGCUCCUCAAAGGCUUUGCCAAGAAUCCUAAUGAGAAACAGACUCUCUCUUACUCUGUCCUUCACCUGCAGGGAUACUGCUGUCCACUUCUGCCGAGAGUCCAAGAGGGGUUUGUUUUAAAUUCUCCCCUGUAGGAAUCUGGGCUUUGAAUGUGAGAGAAAACAUUUCAGAUUUUCCUUCCUUUA